UCCCUAAUAGCUCAGUGGGUAAAGAAUCUGCCUGCAAUGCAGGAGACCCCGGUUUGAUCCCUGGUUUGGGAA
rnacentral:tRNA from 1 species